GGUGACGAAUCCUGUAACUUGUUUUCAAGGAGCCUGGUGAGAUAAUUGUCUCGCCCCUUUUUUUAGACACACCUUAAUUGUGUAGUAACGUGUUUCAUAUUGGAAAACAAUUGGUAAACAUUUUGAUCAUUCUUUAUUUUUGCUUAACGCUGGACUCUAUUGAUAACAGUAGUGUUCGCUAAUAAACAUAGUCGGCUCCCAGUUACUUUGUAGUUUAAUUUUAUGAAAGCUGCUCUGUGUGGCCGUAUAAACAGUAGCAAUCUGAUUGCGUUGCAAUCGGAGCAGCCUCAGUGCAGAGGAGCGGUUUAAGUUAUUUCAGGUGCCCAGGUUGCUGUCUGGCGCCAUCAAUAGUGUUGAUGUGAAUGCUCACGCCGCUUUCGGAAUAAAUAAAAAGUCUUGGUUGUAAGUUAAGGCGUAGAGAUCGAUACAGAAAAAAAUGUGUGGGGGCAGGCUCAAGGUAUAUUGCUGCGUGGUUUGAUAGCAAAAAAUAAGCCUUUAGCUCUACAAAGAAGUUCUGUUUUUUUCCAGUACAACCAUAUAGGAUGUCUCAGCAGUAAAAUUGAUUUUUAUUUAAAAAGGGAACAAAAGAAUCUCCCUCCAUAAUGAUUAUGAGCCCCCGUAAUUCAGUUUUAUUCUUCCUAUGUUAAAAACAACACCAGAAAAGCUUUUGUCCCGAAGACGAUUGAAAGGAAAUGUGAGUGGGAGAGUGCAGAUCUACUGGUCAGAAUUUAAAACAGCCUUAAACGCACUGAGGGGUUUGGCGUGGAGAUGCACGCCCUUGAAACCGUUACAGAACUGCGCACCGAAGAAACGGAGCCUUGUCCUUAAAAAAGGUUCUGAAGUAUGGCGUUUCUAUCCCCUGCACAUGACCUGCGAGUGGAAAUUAUAACAUGUGAAAUAAGUGUUGACCUUAUUUAAAAUUGGUUCACCUUUCUAUUUUUGCAAACGAGUUGGUAGUUUUUUUUUGUG